CCGAAUGGGGAAACCCAGUGUGAUUCGUCACACUAUCAUUAACUGAAUCCAUAGGUUAAUGAGGCGAACCGGGGGAACUGAAACAUCUAAGUACCCCGAGGAAAAGAAAUCAACCGAGAUUCCCCCAGUAGCGGCGAGCGAACGGGGAGGAGCCCAGAGCCUGAAUCAGCAUGUGUGUUAGUGGAAGCGUCUGGAAAGGCGCGCGAUACAGGGUGACAGCCCCGUACACAAAAGCGCAUGUGCUGUGAGCUCGAUGAGUAGGGCGGGACACGUGGUAUCCUGUCUGAAUAUGGGGGGACCAUCCUCCAAGGCUAAAUACUCCUGACUGACCGAUAGUGAACCAGUACCGUGAGGGAAAGGCGAAAAGAACCCCGGCGAGGGGAGUGAAAAAGAACCUGAAACCGUGUACGUACAAGCAGUGGGAGCACAGGUUUACCUGUGUGACUGCGUACCUUUUGUAUAAUGGGUCAGCGACUUAUAUUCUGUAGCAAGGUUAACCGUAUAGGGGAGCCGGAGGGAA
rnacentral:rRNA from 1 species